rnacentral:rRNA from 1 species
UACGUAGGGGGCAAGCGUUGUCCGGAAUCAUUGGGCGUAAAGAGCGUGUAGGCGGCCCGGUAAGUCCGCUGUGAAAGUCCAGGGCUCAACCCUGGGAUGCCGGUGGAUACUGUCGGGCUCGAGUCCGGAAGAGGCGAGUGGAAUUCCUGGUGUAGCGGUGAAAUGCGCAGAUAUCAGGAGGAACACCAAUGGCGAAGGCAGCUCGCUGGGACGUGACUGACGCUGAGACACGAAAGCGUGGGGAGCAAACAGG